rnacentral:rRNA from 2 species
UACGUAGGGGGCAAGCGUUGUCCGGAUUUACUGGGCGUAAAGAGCGUGUAGGCGGCCAAACAGGUCCGUUGUGAAAACUGGAGGCUUAACCUCCAGACGUCGACGGAAACCGUAUGGCUAGAGUCCGGAAGAGGAGAGUGGAAUUCCUGGUGUAGCGGUGAAAUGCGCAGAUAUCAGGAAGAACACCAAUGGCGAAGGCAGCUCUCUGGGACGGUACUGACGCUGAGACGCGAAAGCGUGGGGAGCGAACAGG